AUUCACAGUUUGAGAACUGAGAUUGAACAUCUUUAAAAAGACAAUUUUUAAUACAAAGGUAGAAAAUUUAGGAAAGACAGAUAAACAAAAUGAGAUAUACUGCAUAUCAAAGAAGUCCCAGAAUCAGACUUACAUCAUCAACUAAGAAGAUUGGGAUAUCACUACAGCAGCCUUUCCAGGAGAAGAAGGGGUUACAAUACAGAGGAAAUCUGGUUUCAGAACAAUGGCAUACACAUAUACAAUACUGGAGAGAAGAAUGAAACUGAAUGACCUAUUCCAGAUAACGGGGGAUGAAGAGCAUGACUCAUGACUCUGGGUAUGGGAGGAUCAUUGUGGAUGACAGGGAAGGAGGAAGCCGGACUGCUUUUCUGGAUAACAGAGGCAGACAGCCCAGGAAAGGAAGCAAGGUCUGUUUGAAAAUACACCCUGAGCUUUUCUACGCCGGUGGACUGGAAGCCUCAGUUGAUUAUCAAGAUCAUCACCAAAGUGGUAAAACCUGGGACAGCAAUUAGGCAAGACUAGCAGCAUCUGCCUUUCCCUGUGGUGAGCAGGAAAAGAAGCAAACAACUCCUUCCUCGGGCAUGAAGGCAGCAUGAUGACUUGAAAGUUGGCUCUGUAUUCUAAAGUCAUAAUUCGUAUUUUGGUGAAAUUAUCAUCUGGAUAAGUUUCGGGUCUCUGAUCUCACUACAGGUAUGGUUUCCCCAGAGGCUGUUUUCCUUUUGGCCUAGGUACCCUCUCUACUCUUAGGAAUCAUUUUUAUCUCACUCUAAUCACUUAUAGUAUUUGGGUUUUACACAGGCUAGUUUUAAAAUUUUGGAUAUAAUUUGCUUUAAAAAAUAUCUUGGCCAGUAACCAGGAAAUCCCUUUUAGUAUGACUAAAACCCUUCUGUGCCAAGUUCUUUAAGAAAUCAGACCGUCUUCAGCUAAAUUGUUAAUAAAAAAUUAACUCUAUAGCCAGUAGCAUGGAUCUCUUUGGGCUCUUGGCCAACAAAUAAGCCAUCUGUGUGAAUAAAAACAGGCUAACAGUUUUGGACUCUGGUCUCUGUGGCCACAUUGAGCACUGACCUCACUGGUAAUUACCCAAAUGAAUUGUUCUGGAGGUUGUGUUCUCUCAUCACGAAAACUCCUUUUCCCAAUGCAAACCAUGUGGGUUAAAACAAGAAAACAGAAGCCAAAACUCCUCCCCAUACCCAAAAGCCCCUUCUGUCAGGAUUCUCAUUUAAACCUGGGAGAGCUGUGAGAGGGCUGAGAACGGCUGGCCAUCAGCGCAUACCAUACAGAGGCGGAGGGCUUGUUUUUCUCAGUUUCCCGCCUAGGAGAGGAUACCCCUAUUGUUUCUGAAAGUGCUGACCAGGACCCACACUUCCAACAAAAAUUCCUCUACCCCUGCCACAGCAGCAAAAGCAGCAGCAGCAGAAGCAACGGUAAUAGAUAAGUGUUUUGAUGAAUUGCAAGAUGGACAGGGCUCACAGUUCCCCCAGCCCUGCUGAUACCAAAUGCCUUUAAGAUACAGCCUUUCCCAUCCUAAUCUACAAAGGAAACAGGAAAAAGGAACUUAAAACUCCCUGUGCUCAGACAGAAAUUAGACUGUUACAGCCGGCUUCUGUGCUGUUCCUUCUUGCCUCUGACUUGUAAACAAGACCUAGUAGAACAUGCGAAUGGAAAGUCACAAACCUCUGGGUGUUUGAAAGGCUCCUUGGGACCUCAUGCACAUCUGCAGAAACUGG
ensembl:lncRNA